ensembl:ncRNA F31F7.6 ncRNA
UGCGCACUUGUCGUGCAUCACAAAGUGCGCCAGUUAAUCAAAUCAACCGAUCUUCUCUUGCCGCUGUCCGUCCGGAUGGACACUGAGGAGAAAUGAGGGAGAGAAAGACGAAAAAUAGUGUAAUUUUCCCACAACUUGGCCUUUUUUUCUCAUCUUUUUCGCUUUUUCUUCACAGACGUUCGAGUGCACUUUUAAAAUAAUUUCUUUUAACUCCGAAAAA